UGGACCUACGGGGGGCAGCAGUCGGGAAUAUUGCGCAAUGGAGGAGAUCCUGAACCAGCCAAGCCGCGUGAGGGAAGACGGCCCUAUGGGUUGUAAACCUCUUUUGUCGGAGAACAAAACCCGGGACGUGUCCCGGACUGCGUGUAUCCGAAGAAAAAGCAUCGGCUAACUCCGUGCCAGCAGCCGCGGUAAUACGGAGGAUGCGAGCGUUAUCCGGAUUUAUUGGGUUUAAAGGGUGCGUAGGCGGUUCGUUAAGUCAGCGGUAAAAUUGCGGGGCUCAACCCCGUCGAGCCGUUGAAACUGGC
rnacentral:rRNA from 1 species